CACAAGCGACUGCAAGAGCAACGGUACCCAAGGAAAGCCGAGCACCAAGAAGCCCUCCUUGGCUCCCGUACCUUCAAGGACUGAAAAACAAACAAGAACGCAGCAUCGAAGUAGACACGAGAAGCCUUCCCUUGCCUCCAUACGCUCAAGGACUGAAAAAUGAAUAUGAACGCAGUGUCGAAACGGCCGACGGGGAGAAAACACCUAAGGCACGAGAAACAUUCCUAUUUCCCACAAACAAAAAAGGACUGAAAAACAAACACGGAAACAGCAUCGAAGUAGACACGAGAAGCCUUCCCUUGCCUCCAUACGCUCAAGGACUGAAAAACGAAUAUGAACGCAGUGUCGAAACGGCCGACGGGGAGAAAACACCAAAGGAACGAGAAACAUUCCUAUUUCCCACAAACAAAAAAGGACUGAAAAACAAACACGGAAACAGCAUCGAAGUAGACACGAGAAGCUUUCCCUUGCCUCCAUACGCUCAAGGACUGAAAAACGAUCAUAUGUGAAGCAGCAAACCACUGGACCACAGCAGUCGCGAGGUCCUUAGAUGACAGCCUUAAUCCUAUGAAUUUAAACGGAACGGCGAAUUCAUCUACAUCUCCUGGACUGUCACAUGGGCUAGUUACAAGUACAUGUAGCAGAAGAAAUUAUUUUAUGGAAAUCAAUUCUUUCUUUAAGUUACGUUUAAGCGCAGUUGUAGUUUUAAGAUAUUGCUCGGUAACAAAAAAAUGUGUAUUCGUUGGAACAAUCUUUUUGUACCCACGUUGUUGAUCUACGCAUGUAAAAUACUUUUCAAAAAUCAAAGCAUUUUAAAAUAAAUAAAAGCUUAUGUAAAUUGUUAUAGCUCUAUUCUUUGUCGUUACAUAGAAUUUUGCGUUUUACAUUCUAAUUCAUAUUUCUUAGGUUUGAUGACCCCAUAACCUUUGUACUUGUUUAUGACUUAGUGGCAUGCCACUGAAGCAUAAGCAAUUCUCUAAGUGUUUAUUAUUAUCCUGGUAUUAUACUGUCCCAGAAACUUAUUAUCGGUGGAGAAGUAUUUUAUGAUUUGUUUUCAACUGUUACUUUACGAGUAAGACUUCGUCACAUUUCAGGAGGAAUUGCAGACUUCAGACAUAAAUAAAGAUUUAAAAAAUA